rnacentral:lncRNA from 1 species
CCUUGCCUCAGCCUCACUGUUGAUUCGCAGCUCUCGCGAGAGCGUAACCCGGAAGUCACUCCGCUGGAAGGAGGUCAGGGUACCCACGUGGGCUGGACUGGGGUAGCUCGCACCCAGGAGCCACGCCGGGCUGAGGCGCCAUGGGGAAGCUGCGCCGGCGGUACAACAUCAAGGGGCGCCUGCAGGCUGGCCCCGGCCCGGCCCAUCUGCCCGGUGCCGGGCUGCUGGCCACCGUGUCCGACCCUCAUUAGUGGAGCGCCUGACUCGGAAGUCAGUGCCCUCAGAGUUGCACUGAGGCGUGGCGCUUUGCCCUUGUGCCUCAGGGUUCCCAUCUGUAAAAUGGGACCCGUGGCGGGAGCCGCCCCACCUGCUGUCAGCUUGGGGAGUGGUAGUGUAGGAAACUAUUUUGUGAAUGAAACGAGAAUCCCUUGAAAUUGCAUUGCAGAAGAAAGACUAUAGAGCGGAUGUGGCUUGGGACGGGCGUCAGCCCUGGUAAUAGCGGCUGCAGCUCAGGACAAUGGCUCUAAGAGGAUAAACUGGGCCAUCUGAACAGAGGGGCUGAGGGCUCUUAGACCCACAAAAUUGGGGAAGGUCAUCCAUCACAUCGCGUGUCCCCAGAACACCCAU